GGAUUCCCCUAGUAACGGCGGAGUGAAGCGGGAAGAGCUCAAAGUUUGAAAUCUGGCAGUCUUCGAUUGUCCGAGUUGUAAUCUAUAGAGGCGUUUUCCGUGCCGGACCGUGUCCAAGUCUCCUGGAAAGGAGUAUCAAAGAGGGUGAUAAUCCCGUACUUAACACGACCACCCGGUGCUCUGUGAUACGUCUUCUACGAGUCGAGUUGUUUGGGAAUGCAGCUCAAAAUGGGUGGUGAAUUCCAUCUAAAGCUAAAUAUUGGCGAGAGACCGAUAGCGAACAAGUACCGUGAGGGAAAGAUGAAAAGCACUUUGGAAAGAGAGUUAAACAGUACGUGAAAUUGUUGAAAGGGAAACGAUUGAAGUCAGUCGUGUUCUUUGGAUUCAGCCAGUUCUGCUGGUCUACUUCCUUGGAACGGGUCAACAUCAGUUUUGUCCGGUGGAUAAAGGUAGUAGGAAUGUGACUUCUCCGGAAGUGUUAUAGCCUAUUAUCANCAUACACUGGGUGAGACUGAGGACUGCAGCUCGCCUUAUGCCG
rnacentral:rRNA from 1 species